GGGGUUGUAGCUCAGUGGUUCAGCACUCACCUAGCAUGUGUGAGGCACUGGGUUUGAUUCUCAGCACCACA
rnacentral:tRNA from 1 species